rnacentral:lncRNA from 10 species
CUGAAAGAGCCUGUUGCACCGAGACCAGCAGGGCCACAAUAUUCGAAAUGAAAAUUGUAAUGAUCACUCUUCUGAUUGCAAAAUCCCAAGAGUCCGAGAAAUUCUCUCACUAAAGAAGCGGAGCGGGGCAGGGCGGGGGGCGCUGGACAGAGAGAACCCGCCCUGGCUGUCGCUCUCGGGUGCGAAAAGCUGUGACACCACCUGGCACCGGCGAUCAGGGACUCACGCUCGACACCAGAGGAGGCUCGUCCAGGAAGAAUAACAAGGAGCCACCGCGGGUCUCUCCCAAGCUUCCAGCUGUCGGGAAACCUUGUCCAAUCACCCACCUCGCCACGUCCACCUGCUCACCUGCAUUCUGUAGAAGAAGUAACGCAUCAUUCACAUCCCAGCAGGCCAAGCGGGCAGGAAAAUGAGGCCAAAA